rnacentral:rRNA from 1 species
UACGUAGGCAGCGAGCGUUGUUCGGAGUUACUGGGCGUAAAGAGUGCGUAGGCGGUUUUCUAAGUUUGGUGUGAAAUCUCCCGGCUCAACUGGGAGGGUGCGCCGAAGACUGGAAGGCUAGAGUAUGGGAGAGGUAAGCGGAAUUCCUGGUGUAGCGGUGAAAUGCGUAGAUAUCAGGAGGAACACCUGCGGUGUAGACGGCUUACUGGACCAUCACUGACGCUGAGGCACGAAAGCGUGGGUAGCAAACAGG